rnacentral:rRNA from 1 species
CGAUACGGGGAGGUAGUGACAAUAAAUACUGAUACGGGGCUCUUUUGGGUCUCGUAAUUGGAAUGAGAACAAUUUAAAUCCCUUAACGAGGAACAAUUGGAGGGCAAGUCUGGUGCCAGCAGCCCCCCCGUGCCCCCG